CCUACGGGAGGCAGCAGUGGGGAAUUUUGGGCAAUGGGCGAAAGCCUGACCCAGCAACGCCGUGUGAGGGAUGAAGGCCCUCGGGUCGUAAACCUCUGUCAGGAGGGAAGAAUGGCGGUCUGGUCAAUACCCGGGCCGCGUGACGGUACCUCCAAAGGAAGCGCCGGCUAACUCCGUGCCAGCAGCCGCGGUAAUACGGAGGGCGCAAGCGUUGUUCGGAAUUACUGGGCGUAAAGCGCGUGUAGGCGGCUUGGCAAGUCGGAUGUGAAAGCCCCGGGCUCAACCCGGGAACGGCAUCCGAAACUGCUUGGCUAGAGUCCCGGAGAGGAAGGCAGAAUUCCCAAUGUAGGGGUGAAAUCCGUAGAUAUUGGGAGGAAUACCAGUGGCGAAGGCGGCCUUCUGGACGGUGACUGACGCUCAGACGCGAAAGCGUGGGGAGCAAACAGGAUUAGAUACCCUGGUAGUCCACGCCGUAAACGUUGUGCACUAGGUGUCGGGGGUAUUCACUCCUCCGGUGCCGCCGCUAACGCAUUAAGUGCACCGCCUGAAGAGUACGGCCGCAAGGCUAAAACUCAAAGGAAUUGACGG
rnacentral:rRNA from 1 species